GGCAAUAUCUCGUUGAAACACCGCUUCUGGUCCGAUCACAGAAGUUAAGCAACGUCGAGCUGGAUUAGUGCCUAGGUGGGUGACAGCUUGGGAAUACAAGGCGAUGUAAU